UAUACGCUUCUUGGAGGGCAAGUCUGGUGCCAGCAGCCGCGGUAAUUCCAGCUCCAAUAGCGUAUAUUAAAGUUGUUGCAGUUAAAAAGCUCGUAGUUGAAUUUCGGGGUUAAUAAGUUGGUCGUACCUAUGGUAUGUACUGGCUUUAUUGAUUCCUACCUCUUGACGAACUGUGAUGCCAUUAAUUUGGUGUCGCAAGGAAUCAGGACU
rnacentral:rRNA from 1 species